rnacentral:rRNA from 1 species
ACAGCAGUAGCCGCGGUAAUACGGAGGGAGCUAGCGUUAUUCGGAAUUACUGGGCGUAAAGCGCACGUAGGCGGCUUUGUAAGUUAGAGGUGAAAGCCUGGAGCUCAACUCCAGAAUUGCCUUUAAGACUGCAUCGCUUGAAUCCAGGAGAGGUGAGUGGAAUUCCGAGUGUAGAGGUGAAAUUCGUAGAUAUUCGGAAGAACACCAGUGGCGAAGGCGGCUCACUGGACUGGUAUUGACGCUGAGGUGCGAAAGCGUGGGGAGCAAACAGGAUUAGAUACCCCCGUAGUCCCUGUCUCUUAUAC